ACGCCAACUGGCAACUCCAAGGCCUAUUAAAAUGAGUCAGAUUCUGGUCCCAUCUGCCCUGCUGGUUCUUUCACUCUUCCCUGCAAGUGGGUGGGCAGACUGGAUAAUGCAGUCAGCCUGGGAGAUGCAGACUGGCUUCUGCUGUGUCAUCUGUCUUGCCACUAAGCAGCCCACUCACCUGUGCCAGAGCCAUGGUCUCAGCAACAUGCAGGCCUCACAGCCACAGCUACACUAGUGGAGAGCUGGCCUGUGGAGCAGCUAUGAGAUCGUGACCUUGCUGAAAGCAGAGUUGUGUCAGUCAUACCACCUGAUUAAAAAUUAAUAAGGACAAUCAACAA